rnacentral:lncRNA from 14 species
ACUAUGUGAAACUGCUGAACUGGGCAUUUCUAAAGCUUCUAGCUGUGGCCUUUCUGCAUGGAGAGUCCUCUCAGGCUCACCGUAUUAUAAGCAAGUUACUAAUGGUGGAGACAGGGUCACCGAGGUGCCAAAGACACUGGGAUUAUUAAAGCUGUUAAGUGUCAAGUUUUACACUCGGCAGGGACAAGAACAGGAUGGAAUCUUCAAGAUGAGCCUUUCUCCUGACGGGAGCCUCCUUGCGGCAAUUCACUUCUCAGGGAAGUUGAGCAUCUGGGCUAUUCCGUCUCUGAAGCAGCAAGGCGUCUGGCGGCAAGAUGAGCAGGUGCGUCUGCUGGUGGAGUCACGGCUGAGGUCGUGGAGUGGCAGUAGUAAUUUCAUAUUGUUGAUGUUUUUCUGAACCACACAGCCAUUUAUCCUCAUCUUUCCAAACCCAUCACAGUCCUAAGUCAAAUUAUAAUAUCAGCUGAUAACAACAAGAAAGAGCUUCUAUGUGACAAUUCCAACUUGUCACAUUGUAUACUCUGCACACCAUGUAGGUUCUAAGGCACUCUUUGUCCUUUAAUGCUAAAAAUAAAAGUAGAAUGGAGAUUAUAACAUUUCAACAACAACAACAACCCCAAACCAUAAAAACACCCCUCAAAACAAAACAAACCAACCAAACCAAAAAAAAAAAAAAAACAAACAAAAAAACAAACCAAAAAAACAAAACAAAACAAAACAAAACACUUUUUUCCCCCCGGAGCUGAGGACCGAACCUGCUAGACAAGCGCUCUACCACUGAGCUAAACCCCCAACCCCAGCAAACAGGUUUUUAACAAUCAUUUGGAUAUAAAUGCUAAAAGGAUUACUUUUCUUCCCAGAGUCUGGUAGCUCCUGUAAGUGUAGCUAUACUUGUUUAGGGUUUGUCCCUACAAGGGACAUGGAGAAAGAUGGGACAUUUUUAUCUUUUAAUGUCUUGAGAUAACAAGUUCAAGAUCAGCUGAUUUUGUUCUUUAGUAACAGGUAGACUCAACCAUUUCAAUUUAUAUUCAUAACGGAAUUAUAAAAUAGUUUAAUUUAAUAUAUAAAGGAAAAGUGGGGAGCCAUGAAUUAUGACAGAGUAGAGAUUUAUUACUAUUGUUUUUAAAAUGUAGUCAUGUUCUUUGGAUGUAUUCAUUUUCUUUUAUGCAUAUGAACACUUUUUAGCUGCUUAUAUGGAUAUGCACUGUGUGCAUGCUUGGUGAUCACAGAGGGUGAGCGGGGGCAUUUGGGGUUCCUGAAGCUGGAAUUAAGGAUGGGUAUGAACCACCAUGUGGAGGCUGGGCACCCAGGCCGCUAUGAGAGUAACACGUGCUCUGAAGACAGCUGAGCCACCUGUGCAGUCCCUAGUAGUUUGCGUUUUUGUCAUAGGGCUUUCCUGUGUAUUCCUGGUUGGCCUGGUACAUACUGGGCAGACCAGGCUGAAUGCGAACCUUAGUGAUGGCUUUGGCUGAUUCCUGAAGACAUAAGCCGUCUUGUUAACUAUUUAUUCCUUAUUAUUUUAUCGUUUUGCAACUCUAAGGUUUCCCACCACUCCUACUGACCAUCCCUUCAGUUUACUGUGGAGUCCACAUGCCUACCACUCCCUCACGCCAUGCGCAGAGAUGCUCCUGAGCAUAGAGCCCAGGAGAUGUGUUACUAGGGCACAGUUUUCUUCUGUUCUGACACCAUAGCUAAGUAGAGUGAUUGCUCUUUACAGGGGCUCCAUGCUUUAGUUGUGUGUGUUAGACACAGAGUCUCCAUUAGGCUGCUGCGAACUGACAGGUGGUGGGGUAUGGCUUAAUCUGAUUAGCACAUAUGACCUGUGGUUUCUCUUUCCUGAGGCAAAAUACCAAGUUUGUCUUUGCAUUAUUUAGAUAGUGUCCAAGUGCAGCAUGUUUCCCCCGCCGUACGUGGUAGUAAAGGGCUCACUUUCUUUCACUUGGGAGGCUCAAGAUCUCUCCAUAUUUGGAAGUGUCUUUUCAAAUGGUGAGGUUUAAACAGUGAGGUUCCUCAGCUUUCUGUUCCCUUAUCUUAUAUCCUGUCAGGUAAUAGAAAUAUUGACCAAGGUCUGAAGUACCCUUAAUAUUCCAUCAACAAUCUCAAAUAUAUAGUGCGUUCACUAUUCAUGGUAAAAUUGAUCAGUGUGCUUUUGAUGUUUGUCAAGAUUCUGAGGGACCUCCUUUGCUUCUUGAACUCUCUAUGACAUGUGUUCACCAUUAUUUGUGAGUAAAAGCCAUUAUGAUUAAUUACUCUUUAAUAUUAUUUAGUAAUUAAGCUUUUUAAAAAAUUGGAAAUAGUUUUUCUUUUUUUUUUUUUUUUUUUUUUUGGAGCUGGGGACCGAACCCAGGUAAGCACUCUACCACUGAGCUAAAUCCCCAGCCCCAGUUUUUCUUUUUUAUAUAGUAUAUUCUGAUGAUAGUUUUCCCUCCUUCAACUCCUCCCAGAUCCUAGUUAGCUUUUAAUAGUGAGUUUACUAAAACUUAAAAUUUGCUUAAAAACCUUAAAAUCUGGGAAUGAGUAAAUGCAUUUAUCGUUGUAACUUUAAAUAUGUAGUCAAGUAAAAUAAUGGGACAGGAAGGACGAGUUUUCCGAAGUGGAAGAAAUAUACGUAAGAGAGGAGUAGAAGCAGGCAGUUUUCGUCCAGCAAGUGAGUCUGUAGACCACAGAUACCCUCAACGUCAGUGAGGGAGUUGGGCAGCUGCUGCCACACCCCAGCUGCUAGACAUUUGCCCCUAUGGCUCCAACUCUGUGCUCCCCACACAAUCCUUAGGUUGAGCAUGAGUCUGAGUCAGACAGAGACCCCCUUACUCUUGGAGGUAAUGCUUCUAUCAGUAAGGGUUCUCAUGUUUACAUACCUGUUCUUGUCAUGUGUGUUGUGUGUUCUGUUUCCUGUUUAGUUACAUGCUAGUUCACCUUAUGUGUGUUGUAUCUGUUAUUAACAGCUUGCAUGUUUAAUACAUGCUACUUUCUUUUGCCUCGGUUGGCAUGGUUUCCAUUGAAUACCUAAGUAAGCAAGAAGUAUAAGGUCUUUGUUCACACAGCUGACAAACAAGACCUAUUUGCUGUCACAGUGGGCUUUGUGCAGGUUGUAAUGUCCUUUGCUGAGGGAGUAGGGCUUAGCCAUAGUUACCAAGCCUAACCCUGCAUCAGUUGCCAUCCUUUUGAUGCCCACAUCCUCCCUUAGAAAUGUAGUGCUCGGCCUGCUGAGAAGUUUGCUACAGCCAUCCACUCCACCCCUGAGACUCUCAUUGCCUUUAGCUUCAAAAGAAAUUUUGGUUCAAAUUUGGAAACAAUGAAAAAUGUCUAUUUAUUUUCUAUAAAAUUCUAUUGUCAAAAUGCAAAAGUCCUCUGCUUUUCUGUCAUUGAGUUGAGUCUGGUCAGUCUACACGUUUGCUCCUUGGGCUCUUGUCUGCCUGCUUUUAUCUAAUCCUUUGUACUGUGUCUUCUAGAGUGUCGUUCUACCACAGAUAUUCACAUGAGGCUUCAGCUCUUCACACACUGGACUUUCAGUAUAUUUGUCUAGGACGAGUAGGGCCUGGGAGCAUGAAGGGCCUGGGUAUAGUGUUCUGAAACAUCUGUAAGAUUUACUCACUGAUACCUGGUGAGCACUUAACUUUGUGGUACUUUAUACACCAGGUCAGCAGUAGGGAUGACAUUGGGGUCUGUCUCUCUCUUUAGCCAGCAUACCCAGCAUACUUCUGAGUUUAUAUUAUUUAUCCUCUUCUUACUUUGGGGACAUUCUGUUAUUUGAAAGGUCAGAUUUCUGUGUGACAGGUUAAGAAGACCCAAGUCAUCCUUCCGGGUUGUGCUAUUUUAUAUUAGGUCAUCAUCUGACAAUCUUUAAAUGCUUGGAGACGAGUCUUGAUUCCUUCUGGAUUGAACACUGAUUUCAUUACUGCCCCUGAGAUGUGCUUUACUCUUGAACUGCUAGUUGGUGUAUAUGUGCCAGGUAGCACAGUAAAUAAUUAUUUAGCUGUGUUACAGAAAUCUGGAGGACUUGUGACACUGCUUAGAACAAGGUGAAGGAGAUAAUUUUUUUAUGAAAUGUGAACAGAUAACCAAGUCAGAGUCACCUAUGUCCUGGGAAGUGGUCACACUGCCUGUGUAUUUUAUAUUGGGACUUUAGCUUAUGUAGCAACAAAAUCUGCUGCACGGUAGAGAGUGGGACAAGGCUUAGCUUUAACUGAUCUGUAAAAUGGAAU